rfam:Canis lupus familiaris chromosome 8, whole genome shotgun sequence.
ACCUUGGUGGCUCAGUGGUUGAGCAUCUGCCUUCCACUCAGGUUGUGAUCCCAGGGUC